rnacentral:tRNA from 1 species
UCCCUGGUGGUCCAGUGGCUAAGACUCUGCACUCACAAUGCAAGGGCCCGGGUUUGUUCCCUGGUCAGGAAG